AGUGAACGCUGGCGGUAGGCCUAACACAUGCAAGUCGAACGGCAGCACAGUAAGAGCUUGCUCUUACGGGUGGCGAGUGGCGGACGGGUGAGGAAUACAUCGGAAUCUACUUUUUCGUGGGGGAUAACGUAGGGAAACUUACGCUAAUACAGCAUACGACCUACGGGUGAAAGCAGGGGAUCUUCGGACCUUGCGCGAUUGAAUGAGCCGAUGUCGGAUUAGCUAGUUGGCGGGGUAAAGGCCCACCAAGGCGACGAUCCGUAGCUGGUCUGAGAGGAUGGUCAGCCACACUGGAACUGAGACACGGUCCAGACUCCUACGGGAGGCAGCAGUGGGGAAUAUUGGACAAUGGGCGCAAGCCUGAUCCAGCCAUACCGCGUGUGUGAAGAAGGCCUUCGGGUUGUAAAGCCCUUUUGUUGGGAAAGAAAAGCAGCAGGUUAAUACCCCGCUGUUCUGACGGUACCCAAAGAAUAAGCACCGGCUAACUUCGUG
rnacentral:rRNA from 1 species